UACGAAGGGGGCUAGCGUUGCUCGGAAUGACUGGGCGUAAAGGGCGCGUAGGCGGCGACUAUCGUCAGAUGUGAAAUUCCUGGGCUUAACCUGGGGGGCUGCAUUUGAUACGUGGUUGCUUGAGUGCGGAAGAGGGUCGUGGAAUUCCCAGUGUAGAGGUGAAAUUCGUAGAUAUUGGGGAAGAACACCGGUGGCGAAGGCGGCGACCUGGUCCGUGACUGACGCUGAGGCGCGAAAGCGUGGGGAGCAAACAGG
rnacentral:rRNA from 1 species